ensembl:snRNA U6 U6 spliceosomal RNA
AUGCUUGUUGCGGUAGUACACAUACUAAAAUUGGGUCGAUAUAAAGAAGAUUAGUAUGGCCACUUGGCGCAAGGAUGACACGCAUAAUCGUGAAGCGUCUAAUAUUUUA